rnacentral:rRNA from 2 species
CGGAGAAGGCUAUGUUGGCCGGGCGACGGUUGUCCCGGUUUAAGCGUGUAGGUGUGUGUUCCAGGUAAAUCCGGUUCACUUUAACACUGAGGCGUGACGACGAGGCACUACGGUGCUGAAGCAACAAAUGCCCUGCUUCCAGGAAAAGCCUCUAAGCAUCAGGUAACAUCAAAUCGUACCCCAAACCGACACAGGUGGUCAGGUAGAGAAUACCAAGGCGCUUGAGAGAACUCGGGUGAAGGAACUAGGCAAAAUGGUGCCGUAACUUCGGGAGAAGGCACGCUGACACGUAGGUGAAGUGAUUUACUCAUGGAGCUGAAGUCAGUCGAAGAUACCAGCUGGCUGCAACUGUUUAUUAAAAACACAGCACUGUGCAAACACGAAAGUGGACGUAUACGGUGUGACGCCUGCCCGGUGCCGGAAGGUUAAUUGAUGGGGUCAGCGCAAGCGAAGCUCCUGAUCGAAGCCCCGGUAAACGGCGGCCGUAACUAUAACGGUCCUAAGGUAGCGAAAUUCCUUGUCGGGUAAGUUCCGACCUGCACGAAUGGCGUAAUGAUGGCCAGGCUGUCUCCACCCGAGACUCAGUGAAAUUGAACUCGCUGUGAAGAUGCAGUGUACCCGCGGCAAGACGGAAAGACCCCGUGAACCUUUACUAUAGCUUGACACUGAACAUUGAGCCUUGAUGUGUAGGAUAGGUGGGAGGCUUUGAAGUGUGGACGCCAGUCUGCAUGGAGCCGACCUUGAAAUACCACCCUUUAAUGUUUGAUGUUCUAACGUGGACCCGUUACCCGGGUUGCGGACAGUGUCUGGUGGGUAGUUUGACUGGGGCGGUCUCCUCCUAAAGAGUAACGGAGGAGCACGAAGGUUGGCUAAUCCUGGUCGGACAUCAGGAGGUUAGUGCAAUGGCAUAAGCCAGCUUGACUGCGAGCGUGACGGCGCGAGCAGGUGCGAAAGCAGGUCAUAGUGAUCCGGUGGUUCUGAAUGGAAGGGCCAUCGCUCAACGGAUAAAAGGUACUCCGGGGAUAACAGGCUGAUACCGCCCAAGAGUUCAUAUCGACGGCGGUGUUUGGCACCUCGAUGUCGGCUCAUCACAUCCUGGGGCUGAAGUAGGUCCCAAGGGUAUGGCUGUUCGCCAUUUAAAGUGGUACGCGAGCUGGGUUUAGAACGUCGUGAGACAGUUCGGUCCCUAUCUGCCGUGGGCGCUGGAGAACUGAGGGGGGCUGCUCCUAGUACGAGAGGACCGGAGUGGACGCAUCACUGGUGUUCGGGUUGUCAUGCCAAUGGCACUGCCCGGUAGCUAAAUGCGGAAGAGAUAAGUGCUGAAAGCAUCUAAGCACGAAACUUGCCCCGA